rnacentral:rRNA from 1 species
GACGAACGCUGGCGGCGUGCCUAAUACAUGCAAGUUGAGCGAUGAAGCUUGGUGCUUGCACCAAUUUGAAGAGCAGCGAACGGGUGAGUAACGCGUGGGGAAUCUGCCUUUGAGCGGGGGACAACAUUUGGAAACGAAUGCUAAUACCGCAUAAUAACUUUAAACAUAAGUUUUAAGAUUGAAAGAUGCAAUUGCAUCACUCAAAGAUGAUCCCGCGUUGUAUUAGCUAGUUGGUGAGGUAAAGGCUUACCAAGGCGAUGAUACAUAGCCGACCCGAGAGGGUGGUCCGCCCCAUUGGGACCGGGACACGGCCCAAACUCCUACGGGAGGCAGCAGUAGGGAAUCUUCGGCAAUGGACGGAAGUCUGGCCGAGCAACGCCGCGUGAGGGAAGAAGGGUUUCGGAUCGUAAAACUUUGUUGGUAGGGGAGAAAGUUGGUGAGAGUGGAAAGCUCAUCAAGUGACGGUAACUACCCAGAAAGGGACGGCUAACUACGUG